CCUCCCCCUCACCCACACUAUUUAACUCUAGGGCUGGAUGGUUUUGGCCAUUAGUAGGCUAAAUCAAUCUCCUUCAGAUGAAGAGCUCUGUAAAAUUUUAUGGCAGAGACUAAGAGUAAAUUAGUUGACCAUGCAUCCAGCCAUCUUACAAGUGGGAUAGAGCAUUACCUAUGGAUCUAGGGUGUCCCAUACCAUCUUAAACAAAUUGCAAAGGGCGGACCAGUCUAACUGCCCAAAAGUACCAUGGAGUCAGUCUUAAGGACAGUAUGUGACAACAUACUAACCCAAAGAUUCUGAGUUGGAAUAGGACUUUUGUUUACAUGUAUAUUGCAUAAAUAGUUUUUUUUAUUGUUGUCAUGAUUUCAAAUGGUCCUCGUACAUGCUAGAACAAACAUGCUUGAUCAAACAUUUUAAAUUUUUUUAUCGAAUUUCAGACUAGAUAGUAUUUUAUCAAUUUAUCCAUCUGUGUGUGUCUGUACAAAGAAAAAACUGAAUUUACCGCUAUCAUAAUAAUCGGAUGGUUUAUAACAUUAAUAUUUGUUAUGAUUGCAAUUUCG